CACUCCUGCGGGAGGCAGCAGUGGGGAAUUUUGGACAAUGGGCGAAAGCCUGAUCCAGCAAUGCCGCGUGAGUGAAGAAGGCCUUCGGGUUGUAAAGCUCUUUUGUCAGGGAAGAAACGGUGAAAGCUAAUAUCUUUUGCUAAUGACGGUACCUGAAGAAUAAGCACCGGCUAACUACGUGCCAGCAGCCGCGGUAAUACGUAGGGUGCAAGCGUUAAUCGGAAUUACUGGGCGUAAAGCGUGCGCAGGCGGUUUUGUAAGUCUGAUGUGAAAUCCCCGGGCUCAACCUGGGAAUUGCAUUGGGGACUGCAAGGCUAGAAUCUGGCAGAGGGGGGUAGAAUUCCACGUGUAGCAGUGAAAUGCGUAGAUAUGUGGAGGAACACCGAUGGCGAAGGCAGCCCCCUGGGUCAAGAUUGACGCUCAUGCACGAAAGCGUGGGGAGCAAACAGGAUUAGAAACCCUAGUAGUCCCAUGAU
rnacentral:rRNA from 1 species